AAAAAAAAGACUCCGCAGGUGACUCCAUCACCAUUACAAUAUGUCCACCGGCAGAAGCCUAGUUUUCUGACAAAAGCAAUUAUUGCCAAUUUCAAGUCCUCACAUAAUCAUUGGAAUGAGAGAAACCAGACGGAAGCUUAGUUGACGACGUCAACAACUAGCCUGCGAGACUUGAGAACUGACCACUUCAAUCGCCGGUAAUAUGCAGCCUGAAGUAAUGC
rnacentral:misc_RNA from 1 species